UAGUAAAGGAAUACAAUAUUCAUAUUUAAAUUUACAGUUUACCAUCUUUUUUAGAUUACUUUACUAA
rnacentral:tRNA from 1 species